UCUCUGGUAGUCUAGCGGCUAAGACUCUUUGCCCCCAAUGCAGGGGGCCUGGGUUCAAUCCCUGGUCAGGGAA
rnacentral:tRNA from 1 species